CCUACGGGAGGCAGCAGUGGGGAAUAUUGCACAAUGGGCGCAAGCCUGAUGCAGCGACGCCGCGUGCGGGAUGACGGCCUUCGGGUUGUAAACCGCUUUCAGCAGGGAAGAAGCGCAAGUGACGGUACCUGCAGAAGAAGCGCCGGCUAACUACGUGCCAGCAGCCGCGGUAAUACGUAGGGCGCAAGCGUUGUCCGGAAUUAUUGGGCGUAAAGAGCUCGUAGGCGGUCUGUCGCGUCUGCUGUGAAAACCCGAGGCUCAACCUCGGGCCUGCAGUGGGUACGGGCAGACUAGAGUGCGGUAGGGGAGACUGGAAUUCCUGGUGUAGCGGUGGAAUGCGCAGAUAUCAGGAGGAACACCGAUGGCGAAGGCAGGUCUCUGGGCCGCAACUGACGCUGAGGAGCGAAAGCGUGGGGAGCGAACAGGAUUAGAUACCCUAGUAGUC
rnacentral:rRNA from 1 species